UCUAGGUGACUCCAACAGCGAACGGGGGAGAAAAGGUAGACUUUAAGGGAUACGAGUUAAAACAAACAAGAAAAAAUAUAUAAGCACAUCUUUUCGAAUGUUUUUUUUGGUUUGUUUUUUCUUUAAAAGGAGCGUACCGACUUAAAUUCCAGAAAUUCCAUUCCUUUGGCAACUUGAUAUGCAAAGCAAAGAAGAUCUUCAAAUUACCAGCCCCAGGCCUGCUGCUGCAGAAAGAAUGAACCUUAGGCACAUCAUUUGGGCAUUUCUAGGCAGAAGAGAGAGGAUCAGAGGGCAUGCCCCAGAGAAUUCUGGGAAAGUAAAGUCUGAUAUCCUAGCUGGGCUGUGCCGUAUUUGACAGCAGCCCAACUGGGGCAGUGGCCAGGCUCUGUAACCACUCUCACCACGCCUGUGCACCAGCUUCCAAGCUGGGGGAGAAGCACAGACACCACCAAAUGUACUUGCAAUGUUGCUGUUGUUGUUUUAAGCAGGUGAGAAUUAUGCAAUAUAUCCUGACAAAGCAGG